rnacentral:pre_miRNA from 1 species
UUAAGUAGUGGAUACAAAGGGCGAUUUGAUAUAAAAGUGUCGCAUUGUAUGACCUACUUAACU